rnacentral:rRNA from 1 species
CCUACGGGAGGCAGCAGUAGGGAAUAUUGCUCAAUGGGGGAAACCCUGAAGCAGCAACGCCGCGUGGAGGAUGAAGGUUUUCGGAUUGUAAACUCCUUUUGUUAGAGACGAUAAUGACGGUAUCUAACGAAUAAGCACCGGCUAAAACCGUGCCAGCAGCCGCGGGAAUACGGAGGGUGCAAGCGUUACGCGGAAUCACUGGGCGUAAAGAGCGCGUAGGCGGGAUAGCAAGUCAGAUGUGAAAUCCUAUGGCUUAACCAUAGAACUGCAUUUGAAACUGUUAUUCUAGAGUAUGGGAGAGGUAGGUGGAAUUCUUGGUGUAGGGGUAAAAUCCGUAGAGAUCAAGAGGAAUACUCAUUGCGAAGGCGACCUGCUAGAACAUAACUGACGCUGAUGCGCGAAAGCGUGGGGAGCAAACAGGAUUAGAUACCCUUGUAGUC